rnacentral:rRNA from 1 species
UACGUAGGGAGCAAGCGUUGUCCGGAAUCAUUGGGCGUAAAGCGCGCGUAGGUGGCCUCGUAAGUCCGCUGUAAAAGUCAAAGGCUCAACCUUUGAAAGCCGGUGGAUACUGCGGGGCUAGAGUACGGAAGAGGCGAGUGGAAUUCCUGGUGUAGCGGUGGAAUGCGCAGAUAUCAGGAGGAACACCAAUAGCGAAGGCAGCUCGCUGGGACGUUACUGACACUGGAGGCGCGAAAGCGUGGGGAGCGAA